rnacentral:lncRNA from 1 species
UUAUCAUAAAAUCAUAUUAUUCUAAAAACCUUCAAAACAUCAAUAAUGACAUAAUCAAGAAAACAAUUCAUAAUAGAAUAUUUGACACAUAUUAGUAUAUGAAUUGAAUCAUCAAAUUCAUCACAUAACAACACAUCAUCACCAAUUUCAGAAUUCAAAUCAAUCAAACAACAUCCUAUUGGAAGCUAAUGACUCCUUAAUUCUACCUCUUAUGCAUAUAUCAGUUAUUGGAUCAAUUCUUCCUCUUACUUGAUUAUCCCAACAACGGUUGAAAACUUCUUUCUUGAUGUUCUUUUUUCCUAAUCUUUUUU